rnacentral:rRNA from 1 species
AUGUCAGCCCCUCCAUUCCGGGCACUGGUCGGCCGGCCGGGUGUUCUGCGUGCCGGCCUUGAUCGGGCACGGCGCGUACACCGGCGGCACCAUGCAGUUGUACAUCAGGCAGAGCGAGACGCCGGAGGGGAGCGACGACGACGGCGAUAUCUCGAUGCCGGUCAGGAAGUUGUGCUGCAGGUACAGCAGCUGCAGCCCGCCGGUUCCCACCAGCUCCUGCACCAGCCGCGACGGCACAUCGCCGGUGAACCGGUUGUUGUUCAGGUACAGCUGCCCAAUGCCCGCCAGGAGCGGCGACAGAGGCCCCCAGAACCGGUUGUAGCUCAGGUCCACCACCGGGAUCGUCACGUCGCUCGUCGGCUGGAGGAGGCCGGAGAAGAAGUUGCGCUGAAGCUGGAGCACGGAGAGCGGCAAUGUGAAGACGGACGCCGGGAUCGGCCCCUGGAGCUGGUUCAUGCUGAGGUCGAGGUAGUUGAGCCGAGUCAGCCGGGGCAGCACGGAGUCGACGUUGCCGGUGAGACGGUUCGCCGCGAGCGAGAGGUACUGCAGCGAGCCCGGCAGGCUGGGCACGCCGCCGGAGAGGGCAUUGUGCUUGAGGUCCAUCCGGAGGAGCGGCGAGGAGUCCGGGAACGACGGGAUGCCACCGGUGAGCUGGUUGUGGCAGAGGAUGAGGUUGGUGAUCGACGGCAGCGACGCAAUGGACGGCGGGAUGGCGCCGGAGAUCUGGUUGAAGCUGACGUCGAGCGUCCGGAGGUUGGACAGCGCGCCAAUGCCGUCCGGUAUCCCGCCGGAUAG